GGAAAUAUGAACCGUCCUCUAGGU
rnacentral:siRNA from 1 species